GUGCCAGCAGCCGCGGUAAUUCCACGCUCCAAUAGCGUAUAUUAAAGUUGUUGCAGUUAAAAAGCUCGUAGUUGAAACUUGGGCCUGGCUGGCGGGUCCGCCUCACCGCGUGCACUCGUCCGGCCGGGCCUUCCUUCUGAAGAACCUCAUGCCCUUCACUGGGCGUGCUGGGGAAUCAGGACUUUUACUUUGAAAAAAUUAGAGUGUUCAAAGCAGGCCUUUGCUCGAAUACGUUAGCAUGGAAUAAUAAAAUAGGGCGUGCGUUUCUAUUUUGUUGGUUUCUAGAGACGCCGCAAUGAUUAACAGGAACAGUCGGGGGCAUCAGUAUUCAGUUGUCAGAGGUGAAAUUCUUGGAUUUACUGAAGACUAACUACUGCGAAAGCAUUUGCCAAGGAUGUUUUCAUUAAUCAGUGAACGAAAGUUAGGGGAUCGAAGACGAUCAGAUACCGUCGUAGUCUUAACCGUAAACUAUGCCGACUAGGGAUCGGGCGAUGUUCUUUUUCUGACUCGCUCGGCACCUUACGAGAAAUCAAAGUUUUUGGGUUCUGGGGGGAUUAUGGUCGCAAGGCUGAAACUUAAAGAAAUUGACGGAAGGUCACCACCAGGCGUGGAGCCUGCGGCUUAAUUUGACUCAACACGGGGAAACUCACCAGGUCCAGAUGAAAUAAGGAUUGACAGAUUGAGAGCUCUUUUCUUGAUUUUUCAGGUGGUGGUGCAUGGCCGUUCUUAGUUCGUGGGGUGACUUGUCUGCCUAAUUGCGAUAACGAGCGAGACCUUACUCUGCUAAAUAGCCAGGCUACUUUGUUGGUUCGCGGCUUCUUAGAGAGACUAUCAACUCAAGUUGAUGGAAGUUUGAGGCCAUUAACAGGUCCUUGUCA
rnacentral:rRNA from 1 species